GCAAGUCGAACGAGAGGAAGGAAAGCUUGCUUUCCUGAAUCUAGUGGCCAACGGGUGAGUAACACGUAGGUAACCUGCCCAUGUGCCCGGGAUAACUUCUGGAAACGGAUGCUAAAACCGGAUAGGUAGCAGACAAGCAUUUGACUGCUAUUAAAGUGGCCUUGGCCAUGAACAUGGAUGGACCUGCGGUGCAUUAGCUGGUUGGUGAGGUAACGGCCCACCAAGGCGACGAUGCAUAGCCGGCCUGAGAGGGCGAGC
rnacentral:rRNA from 1 species